rnacentral:rRNA from 1 species
GAUGAACGCUGGCGGCGUGCCUAAUACAUGCAAGUCGAGCGAACAGACGAGGAGCUUGCUCCUCUGACGUUAGCGGCGGACGGGUGAGUAACACGUGGAUAACCUACCUAUAAGACUGGGAUAACUUCGGGAAACCGGAGCUAAUACCGGAUAAUAUAUUGAACCGCAUGGUUCAAUAGUGAAAGACGGUUUUGCUGUCACUUAUAGAUGGAUCCGCGCCGCAUUAGCUAGUUGGUAAGGUAACGGCUUACCAAGGCAACGAUGCGUAGCCGACCUGAGAGGGUGAUCGGCCACACUGGAACUGAGACACGGUCCAGACUCCUACGGGAGGCAGCAGUAGGGAAUCUUCCGCAAAGGGCGAAAGCCUGACGGAGCAACGCCGCGGGAGUGAUGAAGGUCUUCGGAUCGUAAAACUCUGUUAUUAGGGAAGAACAAAUGUGUAAGUAACUAUGCACGUCUUGACGGUACCUAAUCAGAAAGCCACGGCUAACUACGUG